rnacentral:rRNA from 1 species
CCCGGUGACAGGUGCUGCAUGGCUGUCGUCAGCUCGUGUCGUGAGAUGUUGGGUUAAGUCCCGCAACGAGCGCAACCCUUGUCUUUAAUUGCCAUCAUUUAGUUGGGCACUUUAAAGAGACUGCCGGUGUUAAGCCGGAGGAAGGUGGGGAUGACGUCAAGUCCUCAUGGCCUUUAUGCCCAGGGCUACACACGUGCUACAAUGGGCGGUACAAAGAGAAGCAACCUCGCGAGGGUGAGCAAAUCUCAAAAAGCCGUUCUCAGUUCGGAUUGAAGUCUGCAACUCGACUUCAUGAAGUCGGAAUCGCUAGUAAUCGCGGAUCAGAACGCCGCGGUGAAUACGUUCUCGGGGUUU